rnacentral:rRNA from 1 species
GAUGAACGCUGGCGGCGUGCCUAAUACAUGCAAGUCGAGCGCACGGACGUGAUGCUUGUUCCUAUGAUGUUAGCGGCGGACGGGUGAGUAACACGUGGAUAACCUACCUAUAAGCCUGGGAUAACUUUGGGAAACGGUAGCUAAUACCGGAUAAUAUUUUUAAACACAUGGUUUAAAAGUGAAAGAUGGUCUUGCUGUACUUUAUAGUUGGCUCCGCGCUGCAUUAGCUAGUUGGUAAGGUAACGGUUUACCAAGGCAACGAUGCAUAGCCGACCUGAGAGGGUGAUCGGCCACACUGGAACUGAGACACGGUCCAGACUCCUACGGGAGGCAGCAGUAGGGAAUCUUCGGCAAUGGGCGAAAGCCUGACGGAGCAACGCCGCGUGAGUGAAGAAGGUCUUCGGAUCGUAAAACUCUGUUAUUAGGGAAGAACAUUUGUGAGAGUAACUGUGCACAUCUUGACGGUACCUAAUCAAGAAGCCACGGCUAAAUUCGUU